rnacentral:rRNA from 1 species
AUUGAACGCUGGCGGCAGGCCUAACACAUGCAAGUCGAGCGAGCGGCGGACGGGUGAGUAAUGUCUGGGAAACUGCCCGAUGGAGGGGGAUAACUAUUGGAAACGGUAGCUAAUACCCCAUAUCAUCAGAUGUGCCCAGAUGGGAUGGGCUAGUAGGUGGGGUAACGGCUCACCCAGGCGACGAUCUCUAUCUGGUCUGUGAGGAUGACCAGCCACACUGGAGCUGAGCCACGGUCCAUCCUCCUACGGGAGGCGCCAGUGGUGAAUGUUGCACACUGGCCUCAAGCCUGAUGCAGCCAUGCCGCGUGUGUGAAGCAGGCCUUCGGGUUGUAAAGCACUUUCAGCGGGGAGGCGUUACCCGCAGAGGAAGCACCGGCUAACUCCGUGCCAGCAGCCGCGGUAAUAC